UGGGGAAUAUUGGACAAUGGGCGAAAGCCUGAUCCAGCCAUGCCGCGUGUGUGAAGAAGGUCUUCGGAUUGUAAAGCACUUUAAGUUGGGAGGAAGGGCAGUAAGUUAAUACCUUGCUGUUUUGACGUUACCGACAGAAUAAGCACCGGCUAACUCUGUGCCAGCAGCCGCGGUAAUACAGAGGGGGCAAGCGUUAAUCGGAAUUACUGGGCGUAAAGCGCGCGUAGGUGGUUUGUUAAGUUGGAUGUGAAAGCCCCGGGCUCAACCUGGGAACUGCAUCCAAAACUGGCAAGCUAGAGUACGGUAGAGGGUGGUGGAAUUUCCUGUGUAGCGGUGAAAUGCGUAGAUAUAGGAAGGAACACCAGUGGCGAAGGCGACCACCUGGACUGAUACUGACACUGAGGUGCGAAAGCGUGGGGAGCAAACA
rnacentral:rRNA from 1 species